rnacentral:lncRNA from 1 species
UGGAUGCUCUACACGGAUGAAGAUGAGACCCGAAGGCUGAGUUGAGAAGUAAAACCAAGAUGGAGAAAGGGCUGGGAGCUUUAUAAUCACACAGGCUUGGGCUAGAAUCCUGGCCUGCUAUCUCAACAGGAAGCUUUAGCCUCGGGGCGUUGGUUUUCCAUCUGGAGGACAAGGACAAGUCUAUCCACCUCACAACAUCACUGUGCAAGUUUAGUGGAAGCACAAAAGGGACCAGGGGAUACAAUGGACACUCUACGGUAUAGGAAAGCUCAGGGCUCUUCUACCUUUAAGGCAAUAAUUUAUUUUGAUAGUUUCAUACACAUCCACAUUACAUCACCGUUAUUCCCUCCCCCAACCUCUUCACACUAUGUUAACUACGUUCCCCCAAACACUAUUUGUACGAGAGGGUCUGUAUGUAGCUUUUGGGAAUCUGUCCCCAGUUGGUCCUGAUUGGUAAAUAAAGACAUCACCAGCCAAUAGCUGGGGAGGACAGGCACAGUUGGGCUUUAGGAUUUCUUGGGUUUGGGGAAGAGAGAAAGAAGAAGAUACACCAUGCUUUAGGAGAGUGUGGAGAGUGGAGAGACACAGAGGCCACCAUGGGGCAGAGAAGCAAGGAGAGCGCCCUGGGCCCCAGGCCAAGAAAGUGAGGCCCAGAGGGCCACACAAAUGGGUCUGGAGUGGCCAAGAUGGAACAUAGAAAUUGGUAAGUCAGAAUUAUUGGCGGGAGGUAGAUUCUAGCAGCAUGGAUGCUAGGCAGUUGCCCAGCUAUUGUGCUGCUUAAGGCAUAUUAAAAUAUAAAGGCUGUGUGUGUGUGUUUCAUUUGGGAACAUGAACCAUUGAGGCAGGUAGCGACUCCUGUGCCGGGAUUUAUUAAAAUAGUAAUACCAUACCACUGAGUUGCCAUCCCACUUUGAAGUCUCUUUGGCUCCUUAUGCUCUGUGACCCAUUGGGUUUACCCAGGGAUUCUCUCAUGAGCAUAGGUGUGACUCCACACACAACGUGGGUAACUCAUCAGUGGCUAUCACUGAAGAAAAUGACUUCCUCUUCUUAAGCAUUCCUCGGUUGCCAUAGUCUUUAGCUCCAGUGGGCAGGGCGAGACUCUUUGUUACCUUUCUAUUCCUGUGUUAGAACACCAUGACCAGGGUAACUUAUGAAAAAACCAAACAAAAACAAAAAAAAAAUGAAAUAAAAACAACAAACAAAACAAAACAAAACACUUUCAAUUUGGCUUAGUAUGGUUUCAGGGGUUGAAGUUCAUGACUGUGGAGUGACCCUUA